rnacentral:lncRNA from 1 species
GGUAUGGAAUUCAGAAAUUCUCAUUGAUAACAGGCUGCAGAUUUAUCAUUUAUGUAGUUACUAGCCGUAUAGGUAUAGGCGAUGUUGUUAUAUACUUACAUACUGUUAAAGCUGCAUUUACAAUGAUUGAAAAUGUAAAAGAUGCUUACAACAGAUACCAUAAGGCAUAGGUACAUUCUACAAGGAUCAAAGAUAAACUAGCUGAUAUGAUCCAUUUUCCCAUUAGAGCAGUAACAACUCCUCCUUAUUCGAGCUAUCGGAUACUUACUGGGGGGAACUAGAGGUCAAAGCUGUGGCUGUUGAAAUGGAAAAUAGCCUGAUGGCCUCUUCUUUGCAAGUUCUGCC